AGUGCUGUAAGAGUCACUAACCUAUUAUGUCUUGCAGGAGUUGUCUCAGAUGCAGACUCAAAUCAGUGAAACUAAUGUCAUCCUCUCUAUGGACAACAACCGCAGUCUCGACCUGGACAGCAUCAUUGCUGAGGUCAAGGCCCAGUACGAGGAUAUAGCCCAGAAGAGCAAAGCUGAGGCCGAGUCCUUGUACCAGAGCAAGUAUGAAGAGCUGCAGAUCACUGCUGGCAGACAUGGGGAUAGUGUGAGAAAUUCAAAGAUAGAAAUUUCUGAGCUGAAUCGUGUGAUCCAGAGACUUAGAUCUGAAAUCGACAAUGUCAAGAAGCAGAUCUCCAACUUGCAGCAGUCCAUCAGUGAUGCAGAGCAGCGUGGCGAGAAUGCCCUCAAGGAUGCCAAGAACAAGCUGAAUGACCUGGAGGAUGCCCUGCAGCAGGCCAAGGAAGACCUGGCCCGCCUGCUGCGUGACUACCAGGAGCUGAUGAACACCAAGCUGGCCCUGGAUCUGGAGAUUGCCACCUACAGGACCCUCCUGGAAGGAGAGGAAAGCAGGAUGUCUGGAGAAUGUGCCCCG
rnacentral:sRNA from 1 species